ACGGCGAGUGAAGCGGUACAGCUCAAAUUUGAAAUCUGGCUCUUUUAGGGUCCGAGUUGUAAUUUGUAGAAGAUGCUUCGGGUGUGGCUCCGGUCUAAGUUCCUUGGAACAGGACGUCAUAGAGGGUGAGAAUCCCGUAUGUGACUGGUUGCCUUCGCCCAUGUGAAGCUCUUUCGACGAGUCGAGUUGUUUGGGAAUGCAGCUCUAAAUGGGUGGUAAAUUUCAUCUAAAGCUAAAUAUUGGCCAGAGACCGAUAGCGCACAAGUAGAGUGAUCGAAAGAUGAAAAGCACUUUGGAAAGAGAGUUAAACAGUACGUGAAAUUGUUGAAAGGGAAGCGCUUGCAACUAGACUUGCACGCCGUCGAUCAUCUCAGGUUCUCCUGGGUGCACUCGGCGGGGUUCAGGCCAGCAUCGGUUUUGGUGGUUGGAUAAAGGCCUUGGGAAUGUGGCUCCUCUCGGGGAGUGUUAUAGCCCUCGGUGCAAUGCAGCCUACCGGGACCGAGGACCGCGCUUCGGCUAGGAUGCUGGCGUAAUAGUUGUAAGCGACCCGUCUUGAAACACGGACCAAGGAGUCUAACAUCUAUGCGAGUGUUUGGGUGUUAAACCCAUACGCGUAAUGAAAGUGAACGGAGGUGAGAACCCUUUAGGGUGCAUCAUCGACCGAUCCUGAUGUCUUCGGAUGGAUUUGAGUAAGAGCAUAGCUGUUGGGACCCGAAAGAUGGUGAACUAUGCCUAAAUAGGGUGAAGCCAGAGGAAACUCUGGUGGAGGCUCGCAGCGGUUCUGACGUGCAAAUCGAUCGUCAAAUUUGGGUAUAGGGGCGAAAGACUAAUCGAACCAUUCUACUAGGUGGUU
rnacentral:rRNA from 1 species